CAAAAACUACUCGAUAUAUGUUAAGAUUAGCCGGUUAAUGUUGUUUUAUAAAAUUGCCAGCGACAUAUUCAACAUUUCGUAUGAAAUUAAAUAAGAAUAACUCUCAAUGAGAAAACUGAUAUUGAUUGUUUUUAUUUCUACCAAGGCUUGGUUCCAUAAAUCAUGGUGCUUGGUUCCAUAAAUCUUAGUUCGCAUGUACUAACAGACCCGAUAUUGAAUUAUAGUCUUCUUCAUCAAAUAUAUUAAAUUAUUGUAAUGGUUAAACAGCUGAAUUUCUUUUAAGGAGGCUCUUAUAAAAAAAUCCCAAAAAAAGAAUCCUGUAUUAUUUAUUGAAUUCCUUUAUAGGAUGAUAACCCCAAUACAAUAACAUUAGAUAACUAUAUGCAAAUUAUCUGCAUCGCAAAGUGAUAUUACGACCUUACUUUACAAGGUCUCAAAGAUCACUCAGUUACAAUGUAGUUUGUGUCUCGUGAGGCAUUCUGUAAUACAGUUAGAUGUACAAACACAUUCAACAUCAAAGGAGCCUUAGAUGAUAUCUCUAACUAAAGCGC
rnacentral:lncRNA from 1 species